GCCUGAACCGACCGUGUCACAAGUUGCCUUACAUCGCAAACAAAAAGAUGCAAGACUGCAAACUUUCCAGUUCUCCUGUGUACUGAUAAUCCGGUUUCCACCCAGUCCCAGGAUAUUAUAUUAAACCUGGAAAAUACUGGAGAAGAUCAAUUAAGUUUUCAGGAGCACAUUACUGUGAUAAAUGCUGAACUAUGUAAAGA